rnacentral:lncRNA from 1 species
UUUUUGUCUUUUUCGAGGGGGGGGGUCCUGAUCCCUUCUUGUUCCUUACAUCCCUGUCAGGGGUUCAGUGUCUCCUUUUGUUCCUUAGAUCCUUUUUGGGGGGGGUCCUUUUAGGGGUUCCGUGUCCCCUCCUGUCCCUUUGGUCCCUUUAGGGUGUCCCAUAUCCUUUUGGGGGGGGUCCCACAUCCCUUUGGGGGUCCCAUGUCCCUUUUUGGGGUCCCAUGUUCCCUCCUGUCCCUUUAGGAUGUCCCACAUCCCUUUGGGGGGAUCCUAUGUCCAUUUGGGGGUCCCACAUCCCUUUGGGGGGGGUCCAUGUCCUUUUGGGGGGGUCCCAUGUCCCCUCCUGUCCCUUAGGUCCCNNNNNNNNNNNNNNCCCUUUGGGGGUCCCAUGUCCCCUCCUGUCCCUUUGGGAUGUCCCACAUCCCUUUGGGGGGAUCCUAUGCCCAUUUGGGGGUCCUACAUCCCUUUGGGGAGGGGUCCAUGUCCUUUUGGGGGUCCCAUGUCCCUUCCUGUCCCUUUGGUCUCCUUGGGGUGUCCCCCAUCGUUCUGGGGGGGUCCCAUGUUCUUUUGGGGGUCCCAUGUCCCCUCCUGUCCCUUUGGGAUGUCCCACAUCCAUUUGGGGGGGGUCCUAUGUCCAUUUGGGGGUCCUAUGUCCAUUUGGGGAGGGGUCCAUGUACUUUUGGGGGUCCCAUGUCCUCUUCUGUCACUUUCAUCUCUUUGGGGUGUCCCCCAUCCCUCUGGGGGGGGUCCAUGUCCCUUUUUGGGAUCCAAUGUCCCCUCCUAUCCCUUUGGGGUGUCCCCUAUCCUUUUGGGGGGGUCCCAUGUCCCUUUGUGGUUUCCCACAUCCCUCUGGGGGUCCCAUAUCCCUUUGAGGGAUCCCACAUCCCCUCCUGUCCCUUAGGCCCCUAUUGGGGGGUCCCACAUCCCUUUGGGGGGGUCCCAUGUCCCUUUUUGGGAUCCAAUGUCCCCUCCUGUCCCUUUGUGGUGUCCCCAUCCCUUUGGGGAGGGGUCCAUGUCCUUUUGGGGGUCCCAUGUCCCCUCCUGUCCCUUUGGUCCCUUUGGGGGGGUCCCACAUCCCUGUGGGGGAGGUCCCAUGUCCCUUUUUGGGAUCCAGUGUCCCCUCCUGUCC